rnacentral:rRNA from 1 species
UACGGAGGAUGCAAGCGUUAUCCGGAAUGAUUGGGCGUAAAGCGUCCGCAGGUGGCGAUGUAAGUCUGCUGUUAAAGAGUCUAGCUCAACUAGAUAAGAGCAGUGGAAACUACAUAGCUAGAGUACGUUCGGGGCAGAGGGAAUUCCUGGUGUAGCGGUGAAAUGCGUAGAGAUCAGGAAGAACACCAGUGGCGAAGGCGCUCUGCUAGGCCGUAACUGACACUGAGGCACGAAAGCGUGGGGAUCGAACAGG